UAUAUUAAGCUUAUUUCAAAGAUUAAGCCAUGCAAAUGUAAGAACAAAUCGUAGGGGCAACUAUAUGAUAUUUCAUCUGUACACAGCUCCAUAUAAGAUUUAUAAGCGUCUCUAAUUGUGUAAUUUAUAAGGAUAACGUUGCUAAACGCAUCGAUAAUACUUGAGAAAUAAUUAUUAUUUCUAAUAGGAAUGUGGAAUAAUGUCCCUUGGCAACAGGGGGGAUAAUCAAUAGAUCGAUUAGACGCAUUUAUCACCCAUCAAUUAGAUAACUGUUUCGAUAACAGCUAUGAUUAUAACGGGUACAGAGAAUCGGGGUUUGAUUCUGGAGAAGGAGCCUGAGAAAUAGCUACUAGUGCCAUGACAUGCAGCAGGCGCGAAAAUUACCCAAUGAUAAUAUUUGAUCGAGGUAGUGACAAGAAAUAAGCACUGUUCCUUAACUAGGAACAGGUACUGGUUAAUUUAUCGGUUUACAAUGGUUCCGUAUUAGACUUACGGAAGAGUAACAAUUG
rnacentral:rRNA from 1 species